GAUCAGACGGAUGGGGAACUGCCAACAGGGAACCCAUCCCAAACUGAUGGUUCUCUGAAGCUCUUCCAUGCACUGGAAUAUUUGGAUUUUUUUCUUUCAGCAUCGGACAUGGUAAAGCUCGAGACCCUGCUGGCCCUGGAAUGAGCAGAAAUCAUUGCCAGCUAUGAGCAGUUGGGAGCAGCCUAGCCUCAGCACCCAGGGCCUCAGCAUCCAUGGCCUCAAUACCAUGGCGAGGAUGCGCCAGUGGGUCUGCAAAGGGAUUCCUCCACAGGUGAGAGGACAGGCAUGGUCUCUGCUGUUGGACCUGGAGAAGGUGAAGGUGGAGACCCAAGGGAAAUACCAGGCUUCUUCAUUCUGAGGUUCCCCAAACU
rnacentral:lncRNA from 9 species